rnacentral:lncRNA from 1 species
UGCAUGAAAUAACUGAAGAGUAGUUGUUGGUGAAUUUUUCUUUCUUGCUACCAGUCUUCUGAAAUUUUCUCAAAUUUGCAGCAACCUUGUUACGAAACAAUCUGUUUGACAGGCCUUCACACCUUUGUCAGUCCUUGAAUUUUAGUAUAUUAAAAUAGACUGAAUAUUAACAUUCUUAUCUGGAUUUCUUGUUAACACUUAAGCAGGUUUGUAGAGAAAACAACAACCAUGGGUCUAGAAGAAUGCUAUUCACAUCGAUAUUUACUUUAAAGUCAGUGCAAGAGAAUGAUAACUAUGUAUGCUGCAAUGAGAGAAAAGCCCAAAGAUUUUGCAAGUGAAAGCAUAGCAAGAGCUUAAGUUGGUUUGGGUC